rnacentral:rRNA from 1 species
CCUACGGGGUGCAGCAGUGGGGAAUAUUGGACAAUGGGCGAAAGCCUGAUCCAGCCAUGCCGCGUGUGUGAAGAAGGCCUUCGGGUUGUAAAGCACUUUCAGUGGGGAAGAAAGCCUUGGGGCUAAUACCCUCGAGGAAGGACAUCACCCACAGAAGAAGCACCGGCUAACUCCGUGCCAGCAGCCGCGGUAAUACGGAGGGUGCGAGCGUUAAUCGGAAUUACUGGGCGUAAAGCGCGCGUAUGCGGUCUGAUAAGCCGGUUGUGAAAGCCCCGGGCUCAACCUGGGAACGGCAUCCGGAACUGUCAGGCUAGAGUGCAGGAGAGGAAGGUAGAAUUCCCGGUGUAGCGGUGAAAUGCGUAGAGAUCGGGAGGAAUACCAGUGGCGAAGGCGGCCUUCUGGACUGACACUGACGCUGAGGUGCGAAAGCGUGGGUAGCAAACAGGAUUAGAUACCCUAGUAGUC